AUUUUUAUUCUUAUUUGAGGUUUUUUACCUAUACAUAUACACAUUGUUGCUGUUAAAGUUUUAUUUUUCCAUUUUUGUUUUUUGGUUUUUUUGUUUGUAAAUGCCAGCCGUUCUCUACAAUUUGUUAGAAUUAAACGAUGAAUGGAAAACUGGAAAUGAUCCAAAAUUACUUGGAGAAAAACGUUAUUUUUGUUGUUAUAUUUCUUUCCAGCAAAGCAAAGAAUAUGAUUGUAUUUUAUUCUGUAUUAUUUCUAUUGUUAUUUUGGGUGUCACGCAUCCACCGAGCUCUAGGGUGGAGUCGGACUCAAUCUCCCAGAAUCCUCUGGGAGAUCACCUGACCCCUCACGUGACUCCGCGCUCCUAUCAGCGCUCUAGAGCUCCCGAAUACUGAUGGGAAGCACCUGUGUUAUUUGUCAUAUGACAUACUUAGUUUCGUAUUUAAGCCCGGGCUUUAGCUCAGAAGUUUCGAGAACAUCACUGGUAGUGCCGGAGGUCAGCAGGGGUGAGAGGGCGAGUCUGCUGAGGACUUCAGCGUCGCCUGUCGUGCUGAGUCAUGAAGUCCUGCAUGACUGAAUUCCCUGCUGUCUGUGUCUUACUGAUCAUUAUGUUCACUGGUGUGUCUCACUCAACUGUACCCUCAGUGAAGGUGAAGCGUCAUAGCUCUGCUGCUCUGCCCUGCUCUGAGAGAUGUUCUGGUUCAGUUAAAUGGAGCCUGAUUCAUAGGCCUGGUGAUGUUCUGGGUCAGUGUGAUCCAGAGUCAUGCUGGCUGAAAGAGGGAUAUCAGAUGUCCCAUGAUCAGUACCUCAAUGGGAAUCUGUCUCUCACCAUCACUGACGCUGAUUUCAAUAAGCGAGGCCUUUACACAUCUCAGUGUGAUGGUAGAGACCUCUGCAGUGUCCAGCUUCUGA